GAACAAGUGCAGCAGCCUUCAGCAGACAUGCAUGCUGGACAGCUGGGACUGCUGACCAACCAGAUGUAGUAAGGUGAAAUUCCACUGCAAAGUGUAUGGCAACUUAGUAUGUGGAGGUGAACAACAGCAAGUAUCUCUUACCAUCCGGCCCAGGCAGCAGCCAGCACUGCCUGGGCCGCGGCCGCCGGCCUCAUGAGCCUGGCAUUCCUGUCACCCAUUCUCCCCAUAGCUUGCCUCCUCCUUCUCACAGUCCGGCGCCCCGCUCCUCGAGACGCAGGACCACCUCAGAUCUCCAGUCCUGCACCUGCCGGCUGAGCAAAUGAGGAGACGGGGAGAAAAGCUGUCUGUCGUUCCUGAAGGAACAGGACCUCCGCACUCCAAGAAAGAAUCGGGCGCCCAGUGGGGGCUGCAGGAGCAGAGGACGGUGGCGGCAGUAGCAGC